GAUGAAGAACGUAGCGAAAUGCGAUAAGUAAUGUGAAUUGCAGAAUUCAGUGAAUCAUCGAAUCUUUGAACGCACAUUGCGCCCUCUGGUAUUCCGGGGGGCAUGCCUGUUCGAGCGUCAUUAUAACCACUCAAGCUCUCGCUUGGUAUUGGGGUUCGCGGUUUCGCGGCCCCUAAAAUCAGUGGCGGUGCCUGUCGGCUCUACGCGCAGUAAUACUUCUCGCGAUUGAGUUCGAUAGGUCUACUUGCCAGUAACCCCCAAUUUUUACAGGUUGACCUCGGAUCAGGUAGGGAUACCCGCUGAACUUAAGCAUAUCAAUAAGCGGAGGA
rnacentral:misc_RNA from 1 species